UACGGGGGGGGCAAGCGUUGUUCGGAAUUACUGGGCGUAAAGGGCUCGUAGGCGGCCAACUAAGUCAGACGUGAAAUCCCUCGGCUUAACCGGGGAACUGCGUCUGAUACUGGAUGGCUUGAGGUUGGGAGAGGGAUGCGGAAUUCCAGGUGUAGCGGUGAAAUGCGUAGAUAUCGGGAAGAACACCUGUGGCGAAGGCGGCCACCUGGUUGGAUACUGACGCUGAGACGCGAAAGCGUGGGGAGCAAACAGG
rnacentral:rRNA from 1 species